AACCAGCAAUGAUGAUGCUGUAACCACACCCCCUGCACCAUUUAUUCAUGAGACUGUAGUGCAAGCAGGCACAAGCUCAUUGAGAAAGACAACUGCUCUGAAUUCAGGAACAGUGCAGCAUUGUUGCCACACCAUCACAGGAAGUCGGUGGACUUCGCUUGCAGGAUCAACAGGUAUUUGUGAGAAAACGGUGGUAUUAAUUUGAAACACUUUACUGCGUACAGAAGAUAAACUUUUGAAUCCUUCCACCUU